CUCGCGCCCCGGGGCCGCAGCGCUGGGGGGAGCGGGGAGGGGCGGUGACAGGUGCCUCCUGCCUCUUCCUGUCACCCUCACCUGGAGAAAACUGGAUAAUGAGAUUCAGAUAAAAUAAAUGAAAUGGGAACGUGAGGGUUCUUCAGAUUUGGGCUGACAGCAGCCUCUCUAGAGAAUAGAAAUCUCGCGCUGUCUCCUGUUACUUUUGCUUUAGGAUUUGCUUUUCUGGGACUUUCGUUUCAGUGCCAAGUAACUUAUUUUGUGUUUCUUAAGGUCUUAUUGGAGUUACGUGAGGAUAUGAACCUCCUGAGAAUACAGAUCUGCCUCAUCCCCGAAACUAGAGGGUUCUCGUAAAAAAAGCUUUCCUAACCCGACGUGGCCUGAAGGGAAGAGGUGCCUCCCACCACCUCCACCGACUCUCUUCCUGGAAAGGCUCGUGCAGAUGAGUUUUUCAUCUUUUGACAGAAAAAAGGAAAAUAGUUCACAGGUAACAUUCUGGGGGAGUCCAAAGGAAAAUACACUUUUCUUCAAAAACAGCGAUCUUCAAUUUAAAGAUGGAGAACAAUGUUAUCAACUGGAUUUUUACUUCCUUAAAUAGGAUCAAUGACUAGGAGGCAAGAAACUAAAGACUCUUAUGGUUUACCCUUCUUUCCUUCCCAUCAUUCAGUACAUCAGCAGGUCUUGGUUUUUCUUAAAGGAAACCUUUCUCAUCUUUCUUCAUCUCUGGGUCUUCUGUUUGCAAGCACUAGCUUUCAUCUGGACAAUUCCCAGGGUUUCUUUACUGUCAUAAGCCUUCAUUCUCAUGACCUCCAUUCAGUCCUCUUCUCCUUCUGGUGCUUCACAUCAUCGUCACCUUUAGUGCUUAGCAUGACAUACAAAGUCCUUUGUACAGUGACUCUUGCCUGCCUCUUCCCACAUACUACUGUCUCCCCCCCCCCCACCCGCACAUAUUUUCCCCUUGACCUGGAAUGCCCCUUUUGGGGCAGUAGAGAGCACCCAGUUUAUGAUUCAAAACCAGACAGAUAACCACUUUCCUAUAGAAUUAAACUAAUUUCUCUGUACUACACUUGCCCUUUAUAAGCAUGUCCAAAAAACCAGAGCUGGAUGGUAAAAGCAGAUUUUACUCAGAACUAUUGCGGUAGGAGAAAGACAUCCAUAUAGAACCAGGCUCCAUUCUGAAUAUAGCAUGGACAAAUGGGAAUUCAUGCCCAAGCAGCAGCGUAGGGAGUCUGUGGUGGAAAAUUACUGAGAGGAAUCAUCAGGGGUCAGGGGAGUUCUGGCUAAAUUAGAUUAAUGGGAUUUUUGCUGAUGAAACAGAGGGAUGAUGGGACAGAACCUGGGGGAUACUACCUGCCAGGAAGCACCACCACUUGGGCUUCACCUCCCUUCUGACUCUGGCUUUUGGAAUAUCCUACAGUUGACAGGAAUUCCUUCUUCUCACCCUGCCUCCAGCUGGACCUAUAAUAGGGAAGGUAUAGGAAAGAGUGACUUCCCUACUCUUUUUCCCCCAACCCUCAUUUACAGGUGCUUCCUGCCCCAUCUCAUUUAUAAUCUCUAUUCUGGUUAGCAACAUUAUUGUACUCUAUACAGUUUUCAAUACAGCCUGGCAUCAAGCUUUGCAAGGAAAUGUGGAAAUGAUGGAGAAGCUCUUGAUCUAGAGGUGGAUCUGUGGCCACAUCCAUGAUAUCAACUAUGUGACAUCUUAUUCUGAAGUUGUUUUGUUCAGUAAAAGGAUUAACUUGCUCAGAACUUGCACAUUCCCAAAAACCUGAUGCUUGCCAAGGUCCUGGAAAUAUCCUCUAAGCUGUUGGACUAUCCUUCUAGAUAACAUUGUCUUUUAACUAGGGGCCUUCGGUCCCACCAUCUCUAGGUCAUGCUGAACAACAGGAUUUAUAAUGAAGGGCCACAUUCUAUUAGUUUGACUUCUGAAGGGUUGAAGACUAAGUAACUGUCAACACAUAGGUACUCCAAGCCUGCAUGACCCCCCAAUAAAAACCUUGGAUACCAAGAUUCAGAGGAGCUUCCUGGUUGACACUACUCAGUAUUCUGCCCAUGUCUUCACAUAUCGUUGCUAGGAAAAUUAAGUGCUGUCAGUACAACUCCACUGGAGAAGACAACCGGAAGACAUCUGGUAUCCCCUGGAUUCUGCCCUAUGUAGCUUUGCUUUUCUAGUUUUGUUUUUGUUUUUUUUUAAGAGAAAAAGAGAUUUUAUUUAUUCAUGAGAGGAACAGAGAGGGAGAGGCAGAGAGAGAAGCAGGCUCUAUGCAGGGGGCCUGAUGUGGGACUCGAUCCAGGGAUCCCGACUUUUCUAGUAUUAACCUGCAUCCUUUCAUGUUUAAGAAUCUAAGGCACACACAGCAACAAGACAUGGUUAUAUCUCAUCACCGUGAGUCUAAAGCUUUUCUGAGUCUUUCUAGUAAAUCACUGAAUCAGGGUGGCCGUGGCGACCACAACACAACUGUGGUCAUCAGUAUAUGUCAUAGUCUUCCAUUAGUAACUCCAUUUAAAUUCUAAGUAGGGAGAGUUGUAAAGGUGGGUUUUGUUUGUUUUUAAGAUUUUAUUUAUUUUGGAGAGAAAGCAUGAGCCCUGUUCUGUGCUUAGCAGGCCUCGAUUCCAUAACUCUGAGAUCAUGAACUGAGCUGAAGUCAAGAGUCGGAUGCUUAACUGGCUGAGCCACCCAGGUGCCCCUGUAGACUUUUAUUAGUGGAUAGUAUAUGUGGCUUUUAAAAAGAACCCAUGCUAUUGUUACAUGCUUUUCUUGCUUCCCUACCUCUGCCCACCAUCACCACCCUAGAGUCUUAAAGAGAAUAAAUUUAGGGAAAAAGAUUUAUUUAAAAAUACAAAUAGAGGUAUUAGGGAAUGAGGUAGAUAGGAAUCAUGUAACUGUCUUGUUGCUGUGUGUGCCCUACAACAGAUUCUUAAACAUUUUGAUAUUAGAACUCUUUUAUUCCCAGGGAUCCCUGGGUGGCAUAGCGGUUUGGCACCUGCCUUUGGCCCAGGGCGUGAUCCUGGAAACCCGGGAUCGAAUCCCACGUCGGGCUCCCGGUGCAUGGAGCCUGCUUCUCCCUCUGCCUGUGUGUCUGCCUCUCUCUCUCUCUCCCUGUGUGACUAUCAUAAAUUAAUAAAAAUUUAAAAAAAAAGAAAAAAAAGAACUCUUUUAUUCCCUUAAAUUAUUGAGAACUGUGAAGAGAUUUUGUUUGUAUGUUUUACCUUGAUAAUUUAAGAAAAUUAACAACAUAUUCUGCUUGGAGCUGCAGUAAUGUACACAGAUGUGAAUGAUCCAGUAAAAUAUAUUGAAAAGGUAACCAGCAUGAGUAACAUGGUAUGUAUGGAAAAAUCCACUCCAGACUUCAAAAUACCUGGCUUUAAAUAAACUUUCAUAAUGCAUCCAUUUCA